AGAGUAUCGCAACUCCCAAACCCCGUUGAACAUCACACUAUGUUGCUUCGGCGCGGCCGCUCCCGCGGCGCGCCCACGUGGCGGACCCGGCCAGGAGUGCGCCGGGAUACAAACUCUUAGUAUACCAGGUUACUCUGAGUGCUAUAAGCUUAAAUAAGUAA
rnacentral:misc_RNA from 1 species